GACGAACGCUGGCGGCGUGCUUAACACAUGCAAGUCGAACGAUGAAGCCGGAGCUUGCUCCGGUGGAUUAGUGGCGAACGGGUGAGUAACACGUGAGCAAUCUGCCCUUGACUCUGGGAUAACUGCGGGAAACUGUAGCUAAUACCGGAUACGACACCUUGGGGCAUCCCAGGGUGUGGAAAGAAUUUCGGUCAAGGAUGAGCUCGCGGCCUAUCAGCUAGUUGGUGAGGUAAUGGCUCACCAAGGCGACGACGGGUAGCCGGCCUGAGAGGGUGACCGGCCACACUGGAACUGAGACACGGUCCAGACUCCUACGGGAGGCAGCAGUGGGGAAUAUUGCACAAUGGGCGAAAGCCUGAUGCAGCAACGCCGCGUGAGGGAUGAAGGCCUUCGGGUUGUAAACCUCUUUUAGCAGGGAAGAAGCGAAAGUGACGGUACCUGCAGAAAAAGCACCGGCUAACUACGUGCCAGCAGCCGCGGUAA
rnacentral:rRNA from 1 species